UACAGAGGUCUCAAGCGUUGUUCGGAUUCAUUGGGCGUAAAGGGUGCGUAGGUGGCGAGGCAAGUCGGGUGUGAAAUCCUGGGGCUCAACCCCAGAACUGCAUUCGAUACUGCUUUGCUCGAGUACUGGAGAGGAGAUUGGAAUUUAUGGUGUAGCAGUGAAAUGCGUAGAUAUCAUAAGGAAGACCAGUGGCGAAGGCGGGUCUCUGGACAGUUCCUGACACUGAGACACGAAGGCCAGGGGAGCAAACGGG
rnacentral:rRNA from 1 species